GGAUGUUUCAGAAUGGUGCGGACAGGUUGAGCAGCAAUAGAUGUUUUUUAAGUCCUAGGUGAGCACUCCAGGUUCUGUGAAUUUUCCCUUCAUAGUACUGCAGUAUUUUCAUACUUCAAGGAAAUAUAAAUAAUAUGGUUUCUCUCUCCCGGUUUGUUACUACCGAGAAUGGAACUCGAGAAGAGGUACUUUUGGUGUUGUCCUAUUACCUCCCGUAUCUAAUAGAUGACACAAAGUUAUCAGUUUAGUUGGCAAGAGCAAAAGUCCACAUCAAUUGUGAGGAUAUGAUGAUUGGCAUACUUACCCCCUGAUGAUGCCUCACUUCUUCAGAAUUUGAGGCUGUUCUUGAUAUGUCAGGUUUUGUGCUGUUUGCCUCUCGGGUAGGUCCCUGCAUGAAUCUUACCUUCGGCAGUGAGCUGAGAAAAUUAGCCCCACCUUUUUUUGCUGCCCUACUAUUCGAUGAAAUGCUUGUGCCCUGAUGGAUUCCGUUCUUUUUUUGUUGGUGUUCCUUCUCAUCCUGCCUGCUUUGCAAGUCUUUGUUUCACCUAUUGUCUCGGUUCAAUUGAUUGUCCAUGCCUUGGCACGUUCUGUGUAUGAUGUAAAUUCGGAACAAUGGAUUUGGUUUUCCGAACCAUAAAACUUAUGUAGCUUGAAUUAGCAGAUUGCACCAUGAAAAGACAUACUUUCCUUUAAAAAAUAAUGUGUAUCAGUACCUCUUUAGACCCUGCUGCUUGCGAUCUGAACCAGUAUAUACUUUUCUACAGUUUAGAUGUUAUAUCAGUUUGCAGAUGAAUUCGUGGCUAAUACCAGCAUUGUGAAUUUUUCAUGUUUGUCUUCCUUUAAACCACCAUAAAACUUAUCUAGCUUGAAUUAGCAGAUUGCACCAUGAAAAGACAUAUUGUCCUUUAAAAAUAAUGUGUAUUAGUACCUCUUUAGACCCUGCUGCUUGCGAUCUGAACCAGUAUAUACUUUUCUACAGUUUAGAUGUUAUAUCAGUUUGCAGAUGAAUUCGUGGCUAAUACCAGCAUUGUGAAUUUUUCAUGUUUGUCUUCCUUUAAACCUGAUGCAUGCAUGUGCAUGAUGCUCGUUGAUGACUAUUCCAUUUGUUUUACUGACCAAUUUUUGAGAGGGAGGGUGGAGGGAGUUGGCUCUUGUGUUUGUUGAUUGCUUUGCAGAUUUAUUGGUGUUUGGUUCAGAUAGAACAGCUCCAUUUGCAUUAGCAACUGUUUGUGGAGUCCCUCGCUGCUACAGAAUGGGGUGAAGAAUGCAAGGAAGUUGCCCAUUGUCUCUCGUCACCCGACCAAGGAUAGGUUUGACUGACAGAGGAAGUCAAUUGAGGAGUAUGUUGACACCAGAGUCCAAGACCAUGGGUGAAGCAUUUUAAUCAAUCUGUUGUUUUGGCUGAGCAGAUCAAACUGUACGCAUGGACCGUGACUAAUGGUGUGCCAGUGUGGUGGUGCCUGCCACACACUCACACAGGUUCUUGGUACUCUCUGUAACCUGUAGAUGAUGGGCGGCGAAUCCGGCAACCACAGAUCCAUUCUCCUGCAUAAUUUUCGUUUUUUCAUUUGAUUUGGUACAAGGCCUACUCAGAAUGGGUUCCCUGAUCUCAAAAUUGUCAGUUUUCUUGCCUUUAGUUUAUAGGUACCUUAACAAAUACAUGUAUUACCAUAUUGGCAGUCAGCACCAUGCGUCAUUCAUUCUUCAUGAUCUCAUAUUUGAGGUUAGCAGUUCGAAGUAAUGUAAGAGCUUGCAUGUUUAUAGUUCUAACUAACUUUUAGUUUAGCGUAGGAUAAGUCUUCCAUGAAUUCUUAGUUGUUUAUUUUUGCUGGCUGUGCAUGACACUGCAAUUUUUUCAUAAUUUCUUUAAAAGUUAACUAUUUUCUUAUCUACAAUUAACUGGUUGUUGCUCCUAGCCGUUAGCAAGUCUGUCGUCCCUGACCACCCUGUCAGCCAUCUAUACAACUGUGGUUCAUGCCUACGUGCUAUCCGCUCCUAAAUUCUCACACCAUGUCAGGUGUUUAGAAGUGAUGAUCAUUGUGGUCUUUAGUUGUCAUGGCUGUAAUCCUAGCGCAUGGGCUUUUGCGGGCUGGUCCAACCGGAGUUGGUUGAUGGCAGGGGCUCCGCUCCAGCUACCGUAUGGCUGAAGAAGGGAUGCAAAUGGCAAGAAUUUUGAGAUGCAUAAACUCCCAUCUUUGAAUCAGAAACAGAAAAUUGUUAGUUUUCUCUUUUCUUAGUUAUGCUACCCUGCUCCACGUAGGUUUUACAGUGAAAAGCUGAAAAAGUUGUGACGGCGAUGAAAGGACUGAAAGAUUUGCUCGAAGCAAAGACAUCUAGCCGAGAUACAUAUGGCAAGAAUCUUCAGAGAUUGACUUCUUUUCAGCUGCUAUUGAGAUAUAUACUUGCUCAUAGGUCACAACUCAAGUUACUAACUUACCUGCACAUACAGUAGUGAUAAGUCGACAUAAUUUUUCUGAGAACCUAUUUUUUUAAUAUGACAGCAUUCUACCUGCCCUGUGUUCUCUUUUAUGAUAUUUUUUGCUCUUCAUGCAUUUUGUAGCAACGAAGAGGAGGGAUCUUAUGUAUAAUAUGCGACAUCCAUGGUGCUGAAGGAAAAUGUUUCCUGUUUUUGGUCUAACCCGUCGUAAGUUUGUCUCGUGGGUCCAUCUAUAUGAGAACCUUCUCAGUGGGUGUCAAAUGGAUUCGUCGCACGCCAAACAGAGCACCCGAGGAGAUGCUCUGAAGAGAGGAAAUGAUAUGUUUUUUUUUUGUUUUAAGAGAAGAUAGGAGUCGAUAUGUUGUCCCCUGACUUCUAUACUGAUCCACAACACUUCACAAAAGAGUAUAUAUCAAGAUAUGUAGUCCCCUGACUUCUAUACUAUUACUGAUCCACAACACUUCACAAAA